rnacentral:rRNA from 1 species
AUUGAACGCUGGCGGCAGGCCUAACACAUGCAAGUCGAGCGGAUGGAGGGAGCUUGCUCCUGGAUUCAGCGGCGGACGGGUGAGUAAUGCCUAGGAAUCUGCCUGGUAGUGGGGGAUAACGUCCGGAAACGGGCGCUAAUACCGCAUACGUCCUGAUGGAGAAAGUGGGGGAUCUUCGGACCUCACGCUAUCAGAUGAGCCUAGGUCGGAUUAGCUAGUUGGUGGGGUAAAGGCCUACCAAGGCGACGAUCCGUAACUGGUCUGAGAGGAUGAUCAGUCACACUGGAACUGAGACACGGUCCAGACUCCUACGGGAGGCAGCAGUGGGGAAUAUUGGACAAUGGGCGAAAGCCUGAUCCAGCCAUGCCGCGUGCGUGAAGAAGGUCUUCGGAUUGUAAAGCACUUUAAGUUGGGAGGAAGGGAAGUAAGUUAAUACCUUGCUGUUUUGACGUUACCAACAGAAUAAGCACCGGCUAACUUCGUG